ensembl:lncRNA
UGGCACCAGGGUGAGAGUGGGCAGCGCCAAACGAUCGAGCGCUGAGACAGAGAGAGAGAGAGAGAGACAGAGAGAGAGACAGAGACAGAGACAGAGAGACUGAGAGAGGGAGAGAGAGACAGUGGGGGGGAUGAGAGAGAGGGAGAGAGAAAGAAGAGGGUAGUGGCAGCAGUAGUGGUGGCAGAUGUGAGUGAUAGGGACAGAGAGAGAAAAUGAGAGAGGGAGAGAGGCAGAGAACGAGAGAGAGAGGGAGAGAGAAUGAGAGAGGGAGAGGCAGAGAGAGAAUGAGAGAGGGAAAGAGGCAGAAAGAGAAAGAGAGAGGGAGAGAGAGAGGCAAAAAAGAGGGACAAUGAGAGAAUG